UACGGAGGGUGCAAGCGUUAUCCGGAUUCACUGGUUAAAGGGUGCGUAGGUGGGCCUGUAAGUCAGCGGUGAAAUCUCCGGGCUUAACCCGGAAACUGCCAUUGAUACUAUAGGUCUUGAAUUAUCUGGAGGUAAGCGGAAUAUGUCAUGUAGCGGUGAAAUGCUUAGAUAUGACAUAGAACACCAAUUGCGAAGGCAGCUUACUACGGAUACAUUGACACUGAGGCACGAAAGCGUGGGGAUCAAACAGGA
rnacentral:rRNA from 1 species